CAAUAUUUACUAAUGUAAAAAUAUAACUAUUACUUAUAUUAUAUCUGAUUUAAAACAAGGAUUUUGCCGCACCUGAAUCAACAGUAAUGCAGUCUAUAGGCAUGUCGGUAUACGAAAUGCGCACGAAACAUGAUUUUACCUCGCUAAAAAUAUACUCGAGAUUACAUACGUAAAUACGACAUCUUAUCAAAACCCUACUCGUGAUGUAAAUAAAUUAAUAACCAAAGCAAAUAGGCGAGAAGAACCUUAUGUUAUCAGAAACACGGCAUGCAUGUCACUCAUACCUUACGCUAUCUAGCGAAUAAUUAUUUUAUACAAAAAUACUUUAUACCAUCGAAUACGACACUGCUAGAAGUACCUACACUACAUACUCGUACAAAACAUAUCAGAGAUUCUCCGUCCAUCCUGUCGGCAACUUAUUGUCUCCAACCGUAAACCAGAGUGGAAUGUUACGAACAACCGACUUACCCGACACCAGCCGCCACGCAAACUGCCAAUGUCACUCCAUACUCUUUCAUUGAUUACUUACAUUCAACCAAAACAAAUGUAUAAACACUAUCAAAGAUGGGAUGCAUGUCGAUAAUAUACACUAACGCUAUCUAUCGGAAGAGUUAUGUACUUUCGAGUACGUAUUAUGCAAGAUCUACCUAAGUAUAAACAACAAGAGAUUUACUAUCUAACAGCUGCUAUAUAAUGUGCACUUUUUAAGCGUCGUUUAGUUUUUACAUUUCUAUAUACAUUUAAGGAUGUAUACAUACAAUACAGGCAUGAUCGAGUUACUUUAGUUUGAAGUACCGUGAAGUACUAUCUAUACACCGUGUUUUUUUUUUAUUUUGGUUAAUUUCAAGGGUGCAUUCCUGAGCUUAAAUCAAGUAACUUUCACAAAGACACCGAUGUUCUAAUUAAGUCCAUUUCGGAGAUAAUCAAUAAUUUAUUUUUUUCCUAUAAUGCCUCUACAAGCGUCUACACUUGACUUAGGGCCGGUUUACAUAUUGAUUAGUGUUUAGAAUGAGUUCAUACAUUUGCUACUAAACUUAAGUACAAUCUCGGUCGACUGAUGUAUGAAAUGACAUUCAUAUGUCACAGAUUUCAAUUGUUUGGUUGAGUUAAAUGUAAUGCCCGUGUUACAACAACGCUAUAUGCUACAUUUAAUUACUUUUUAAACAAAAAAGAAAUAAAAAAAAAAAAAAUUUUUUUUCCCAAAAUUAACUAUGCCAUUUAGUUCUCUUAAAC